rnacentral:rRNA from 1 species
AUUGAACGCUGGCGGCAGGCCUAACACAUGCAAGUCGAGCGGAUGAAGGGAGCUUGCUCCUGGAUUCAGCGGCGGACGGGUGAGUAAUGCCUAGGAAUCUGCCUGGUAGUGGGGGAUAACGUCCGGAAACGGGCGCUAAUACCGCAUACGUCCUGAGGGAGAAAGUGGGGGAUCUUCGGACCUCACGCUAUCAGAUGAGCCUAGGUCGGAUUAGCUAGUUGGUGGGGUAAAGGCCUACCAAGGCGACGAUCCGUAACUGGUCUGAGAGGAUGAUCAGUCACACUGGAACUGAGACACGGUCCAGACUCCUACGGGAGGCAGCAGUGGGGAAUAUUGGACAAUGGGCGAAGGCCUGAUCCAGCCAUGCCGCGUGUGUGAAGAAGGUCUGCGGAUUGUAAAGCACUUUAAGUUGGGAGGAAGGGCAGUAAGUUAAUACCUUGCUGUUUGGACGUUACCAACAGAAUAAGCACCGGCUAACUUCGU